AGUGAACGCUGGCGGUAGGCCUAACACAUGCAAGUCGAACGGCAGCACAGUAAGAGCUUGCUCUUACGGGUGGCGAGUGGCGGACGGGUGAGGAAUACAUCGGAAUCUACUUUUUCGUGGGGGAUAACGUAGGGAAACUUACGCUAAUACCGCAUACGACCUACGGGUGAAAGCAGGGGAUCUUCGGACCUUGCGCGAUUGAAUGAGCCGAUGUCGGAUUAGCUAGUUGGCGGGGUAAAGGCCCACCAAGUCGACGAUCCGUAGCUGGUCUGAGAGGAUGAUCAGCCACAAUGGCACUGGGGCACGGUCCAGGCCCCUACGGGAGGCAGCAGGGGGGAAUAUUGGACAAUGGGGGCAAGCCUGAACCAGCCAUACCGGGUGGGUGAAGAAGGCCUUCCGGUUGUAAAGCCCUUUUGUUGGGAAAGAAAAGCAGCAGGUUAAUACCCCGCUGUUCUGACGGUACCCAAAGAAUAAGCACCGGCUAACUUCGUG
rnacentral:rRNA from 1 species